UACGUAGGGUGCGAGCGUUAAUCGGAAUUACUGGGCGUAAAGUGUGCGCAGGCGGCCGAGCAAGUCGAGUGUGAAAGCCCCGAGCUUAACUUGGGAACUGCGCUCGAAACUACUUGGCUAGAGUGUGGCAGAGGGAGGUGGAAUUCCACGUGUAGCGGUGAAAUGCGUAGAGAUGUGGAGGAACACCGAUGGCGAAGGCAGCCCCCUGGGUCAAGAUUGACGCUCAUGCACGAAAGCGUGGGGAGCAAACAGG
rnacentral:rRNA from 1 species